rnacentral:snRNA from 1 species
GUGCUUGCUUCGGCAGCAUGUAUACUAAAAUUGGAACGAUACAGAGAAGAUUAUCGUGGCCCCUGCACAAGAUGACACGCGAAUUUGUGAAGUAUUACGUAUUUUA